AGCAGCCGCGGUAAUUCCAGCUCCAAUAGCGUAUAUUAAAGUUGUUGCAGUUAAAAAGCUCGUAGUUGAAUUUCGGGAUCAAUAUGUUGGUCGUGCCUUGGUACGUACUGGCAUUAUUGGUUUCUACCUUCUGAAGAACCUCGAUGUCAUUAAUUUGGUGUCUUGGGGAAUCAGGACUGUUACUUUGAAAAAAUUAGAGUGUUUAAAGCAGGCUCGCGCUUGAAUACAUUAGCAUGGAAUAAUGAAAUAGGACGUUUUGAUUCUAUUUUGUUGGUUUCUAGGAUUGACGUAAUGAUUAAUAGGGAUAGUUGGGGGCAUUAGUAUUCAAUUGUCAGAGGUGAAAUUCUUGGAUUUAUUGAAGGCUAACUACUGCGAAAGCAUUUGCCAAGGAUGUUUUCAUUAAUCAAGAACGAAAGUUAGGGGAUCGAAGACGAUCAGAUACCGUCGUAGUCUUAACCAUAAACUAUGCCGACUAGGGAUCGGAUGAUGUUAAUUUUUAAUGACUCAUUCGGCGCCUUAA
rnacentral:rRNA from 1 species